UGUUGCUCCACUCAAACAGAGCAUGUCGAUUCUUAUUUUCUUGGCUGAAGUUUAAGUUUCAUGGGUGUGGAUACAGCAUGCCCCACUGUGGUUUCUGAUAUUGAUUACCCCUGAGGGAUUCUUUUCUUGGUAUUCUUCCCAUCCACUUCCUGUGCCAUGGACAUCCAGGGUGAGGUGUUGCCAGGAGCCCCCCAGUUGUCCUUUGUGGGUUGGGAAAGUUCCCACAGUUGCAAGGGGAUCUUGCAGUAUCAUGGAGCCAGAUAACCAAGCUACAAAGCACAGCUGUGCCAUGUGCCAGCUAAGCAGAUGAAGUGCCCUAAGGUCAGCUGUGAGGACUAACGAGUGUCUACAUGAGCAGCCCAGGAAUUGUCCCCAGGUUGGAAGCAGCACAGAGAGGUCAUGAGCAGUGGACAGAAGUCACUCCUUUAAGCUGCCUUAGUCCAGCUGCUCUACGCCGUCUCCCUAAGUCGUUUUCAGGGCAACCUGGCUUUGAAAUAUUUUGAUUUGUCCAGUUAAAAUGUACUUUGCAAGGGCUGAGAAAAUAGCUCAGUGUUUUUUUGCCAAGCGGACAUGAGGAUCUAAGGUCAGAUCCUAGCACCCAUGUGAAAAGCAAGGUAUGUCGGAACGAACCUGCAAAGCCAGCCCUGGAAGGUCAGCAGAGCUUGCUGGCUAGCUAGUUUUGCUGAGACAGUAAGCCUCAGGUUCAGUGAGAGACCCUGUCUCAAAAAAUAAGGUGGAGAAUGAUAAAACAUAAACCUCUGACCUCUCCAAGCAAGCACACACACACACACACACACACACACACGUGAACACAUACUCCACACCAGAGAGGAACAAAGAUGUUUACCAUGUGCCAGGAUCUGCAACAGGACCAACUAAGGGCCUGAAGCAAGGAAGGGAGGGAGAAGGAGGCAGAGCAUCUUAAGGGAGUCUGUCUCUCAGGAUGAUAGGCUCUGUGAGGAUCUGUCAGAGCAGUGAGGAUCCCUCACCACCACUACCACCCUGGCUGAAGGUCAGCAAAGAGGCCAGUGCUAGAGAAUUCUGCGUCUAGUUGGGCAUUCAACAAAGUGAGAAAGCCUGACUUCACUCAGUACUUUGAUCUCACAGUGGGAAUACAAAGACCUAGGGAGUGGAAGAGACCUGCCUAGGUCACAGCACCCAACAAAUAGCACUCUGAAAUGGAACCAGGGCACUGUGGGGCUCAGCUGCAGCAGGGCUGUUCACACAGCUCCGCAGCCCCUGAAUAGAGUGUAUAGUCUGAGGGCUGUGGUCCCUUCAGAUCACAUGCCAGCCACCUCCCCUCCUUUUCCCCUUUGGUAGGAUUCUUCCUUCUGAGUGAGCAGCUGCUGUUGGGCUAAAUGAGACCCAGUCUUCCGUCCGUGCUCGCUAUGGAGUAAAUGCCUCCUGGAGAAAGCAGAGGUGGGUAACAAACCUGCCAGUCUUGACUCUGUCACCAACACGCUUUGUGGCUUUUGGCAAGCUUCCCCCCAUUCCUGGGUCUCACUUGCUCACACAAGGGGAAAUGAAGAGUACUUCUAAGAGAAUUCACCUAAACUUGUAUGUCUUUUUUUUUUUCCUUCCUCAAUUAAAUGUAUUUUUAGCUGGUACAUAAAAGCUAAACACUGGAGCUUGGCAUUGUGGUGGAUAACUGUAAUCUCAGCAGUCAAGGGGCUGAGGAUUACAAGUUCUAGGCCAGCCAAGGGCUAUGAAUCAAGAUCUUAAUCUCAAUAGACAAGCACAUAAAAUAGGCACACAUAAGUAAACAGGUACACAUUGGGUGGGAUCUUAGUGAAUAUAAAUGUUUAUCUCCAAACAUGUAUUUUAGAAUAAUUAAAUUUAGUUUAUUUCUGGUGAAAACUUAAAAUCUUUUCUUGUUGCUUGUGAAGCACACAGCCAUCACCACAACCUACUAUGUAGCAUACCAGGUCUGUUGCUCUUAUUCAAGUUUCCAGGAUCAGUCAAGAGCUUGUUUUGACACUAGAGGGUGCUACACUCUUCACUAUUCCCUUUCAGUUUGUCUCGGUUCAUUGUCAACAUAUUAGAUGGCAAACUGUGCCAUUUAAUUCCUUAAAUGCAAACUAUGUGAAAAUCCAACCGUGCUUCCAGAAGCACAGGACAGACAACAUCACAUGCUCCACAGCCCCAGGAGACCGUUUUCAGGCAAAGUAUCCUAACAGUGGCGGCUCCUGUGAUGCUGAGCUGGAACCAUCCACAAGAGCACACACAGUCUAGGCAAGAUGGUUUCCCCAGCACUCUGGUCCUGGGUGUAUCUCGCUGGUGGAGCUGAGCUUUGUGGGGCAGGGAGUUCAAGGCCAGACUUUGCCAUCUUACUGAGCAGAUUCUUGUUCCUGCUGUCAGCCUGAAUGUCCUCAUUUGUGCUGUCCUCCCAACCUAAGGGCACUUUGUUAUUGAUUCAACAGGUUUAGAGAGAUUGAAAGAUACCCGAGAGCCAUCAUUUGUAUUACAAGUUGUCAGGUGUGAGAGAAACAAGCAGAACCAGCCUCAUGACCAAGGUCACCUAACAACAUCACAAGACGAUGACAUCACCAUCAGCUCUGGCCCAGAGCUCAAAUAACGGAGGGAAAGGGCAGGUCAUCCUCACGGCAGGGUGACAGAGCUGGUGCCAGGCCUCUGCCAACUAUCAGGGCCCAGGAGUGUUGCUGAAAGCUACCCAGGAGCAGCUCAUCCCUGCCUCCGCUCAGCCAGCGCUCUCACAUGCUCAGAACAGUAGAGUCUCACCAACAGGGGUCCCCACCCCCACCUUUUCCUAGAAGCAAGGUUAGCAACUGCCAGAGUCAAAAUAGAUGUGGAGAGAAUUGUGUGGCAACACUCGGGUUUAGUUCAAGCACACUGGAUUGCACGAUAUCCUUAGAGGGCAGAGCCAUUGCAGGAGGGAUCAAAGCAGCCGGCCUUGCUCUUCGGGCUGAUGUUUCUGCCAUGCUGCAUGUCAAACAAUCAUGUCUUUGGAGCCCAGAUGCCCUGCUUUGUAGAUAUUUUUUCAGGUGACAGAAAGCUGGCUAACCCACAACUACCAAGGAGAAGCAAAGAUAAAGGCAAUUGCCCAUGAAUGGUAAAAAUGAAUUAGGGCCCAAAUAGAUGGAUGGUAAAAACGCCACCUCUUCUCCCAACAAGCGACAUAGUCACUACUGAGAGGAGACCGAUGGCAGAGUAGACCAGCGAGGUGGAGUCCUCCUUAACCCAGCUAUCCCACAAAUCAGCACCAUGUGCCUCCUGCCACUGCACACUGCUGAUUCCAUAUCACUCUGGUGGGUCUCCUUCCAAAACAGGUAUAAUCUCACCUGAAUCCUUCAGAACUGUCAAUCAAAACCCAAGUGGGAAGGCUUCCACAGAGAGGUCCUACCUGGCCACUCCUCCAGCCCGCCAUACCACUCCACUCCCACCACUCCCAGGCCCCAUCAUCUAUUUUUCUUUUCACAUGUAUUUAAUUCUGUUUCUGUCUCUGUCUCUCUUUCUCUCUGUCUCUCUCUGUCUAUCUCCCCCUCUGUCUUUCUAUGUGUGUGUGUGUGGGGGGGGGGGGGGUUGAGGGGGACUACUCGUAGGAGUCAGACUUUUUCCAAUAUGUGUGUUCUAGGGAUCGAGGCUAGGUCCUCAGGCUUAUCAGCAGCCACCUUUACUGCUGAGCCGUGUUGCCGGCCCACAUCACCUGUUUCGUCUUCUCCCAGCACUCUGUGUUGUAAACCAUCUCUGUUUAUAUAUAUCUGUCUCCGUGUUUAGGGUCUCCUCCCGCCAGAAUGUAAACUUCCUAAGCAUGGAGAAUGUCUCCAUCUGAUGCGUCCUUCAGACCGCAGGCGCCUCAUGGAUACAUGUGGAACGAUAAAUGAAGAACCCGUUUCCCCAUCUGCAGGACAAACAGCUCCGGGUCCAACAGCCAGGCUCUUUCCUGGUCUGACAAUGAAAUGAAGAAUCUGAGGAUGUGAGUGCUUCAGUGGAGUUCCGGGGACCUCUCUAUGCUGCCUGGGCAGAGGUCAAGUUCAGUAGCUCACCCUGCCUUAGCCUCCAAGCACACAUAGGCACAUGCCACCAUGCCUGGCUUGGGCCUCCGCUUUAACUCUUCCUUUCUCAUAUAACCCUCUCCCUGAUCCUACAACCCCUCUGACAACGUUGAAUUCAGUUCAUUCUCGAUGAGCUGAUAGGCACUGAGCACCUACCUAUUGAGCACUGGGAACCCAGGGUCUGGUCCCUAAGGAGCUUGGCACGUUAACAGGAGCUUGGCUGAGAAACACUAGGACUUAGUUGCUUAACUGGCUAGCAUCACGUAGCAAAUACACAGCUGGGCUGGGAAGCUGCUUGGCUCUCUACACUGCAGGUGAGAUGCUACCCUAAAGACUAGAAGCAGUGGAGCAGAGUGUGCUCAAGUGCCAGGUGGCUCCCCUCAGAGCUUACAAGCCCACCAGUGUCCCACGACCUCAGCCUUUGUCCUCUACCGUACCCUUCUGGCAGAGAGGGAACGUGCGGGAUCUCGGCUCUUUCUGGUUGUGUUUCUCAUUACUCCACAGCCUUCAGGCCGGUUUUCUUUAGAUAAACCCGAGACUGCUCUGCUUGAGCAACGGUCAAAUUCAACCCAAGAAGUAAUCUAAGUUGGAGAUGCAAUCAAAUAACCUUGGCAGGGGGGAAAAAACCCAAUAACAACAAAAAGGAAAAACAAAGUAACAAAACAAAAACCCACUUCAAAAAAAAAAAAAAUGUCUCCAGAAGAAACUGAGCAUGAAGAAUUGAAACAAUGUAAGAGAACAGGAUAUUUCUUAAAAAGAUGUUUUAUUUCUCUUCAGCUCAUUGAUCUUGUCCCUCCCUAGAAGUUUGAAAGCUUUCUCUGCCAAUUAAUCUCUACACUCAUAACCAGCCCCUACCCCCUCUAUAAUCUUCAGCCUCCAAAGCAAGGACUACAGUUAGCAAGACAAAUGUUUGUCUUGGAAGAUCAAUUACCGCACUGGGAGGUCUGAGAUUCCUGGGGUUUAGUGCGUGCCUUGCCUUGGACUUGCUCGGUGACCUUCGGAUCUCUGUGCAGGGGUGUCUGAGACUACACAAGGAGCCAUGUCCUGAGAUUGCCCUGAGUUCCCGAAGAGGGUACUUGGCCAAGGAUAUGAUUUAUCUAUGCCCAUAAAUGCUGCUCUCCCUCCUUCAGGAAGCCAGCUAAUUAUGUUAAGAAUUGAAAAUGCAUUUUCUGUGGGCAUUUGAAGGACGGUCUUUACAGGAAUGUGUGGCAGAGAGUGUGUGAAUAAAAGAGACACAUUAACAAAGUUUUGUUAUUCUAGAGAAAAAAAUGUCACAGCUCCAUUAUUUUUAAUGGCCACAAUGUUCAGAGCUGAGGAGGGGGAGAGAAGAACACAGCAUUAUUGUUGGAAGCACAGCUCACUGAUGGCUCCCCAGAGGAGAGGCUGUUCUGAUGACGUCACCUGCCAGUGAGCCAGGAUAGUGGCUGACAGGAAGAUCCCCCUUCCAGAAUCUCCUGACCUCAGACUGCAAAGGAGCAAACUGGCAGGAGAUGCUCUGUAUGUAGUUCAAGUAGGUGAGAUCCUCCAACUUAAUCUCUUGAUGCCACACACACAACUAAAGGUGCCUCCCCCCUGCUGCAGGGCAUGAGGACAAAGGAUUUGGGGCAUGAGAAAUUCACAGACUCUCUCUCUCUCUCUCUCUCUCUCUCUCUCACACACACACACACA
rnacentral:lncRNA from 1 species